rnacentral:misc_RNA from 1 species
UUCAUAAAGGAUUUCAAUAUCGAAUUUUAAUCUUGGGGUCUUAGACCUUCAAUCUUUGAAUCUUCAAUGUUAGAUCUUUAGAUCCUCAAUUGUUGACCUGAAUUAAAGCGAUUCAAUAUCACAAUAUUAAAAUACUACAAUAUAUCAAUAGCAAAGUAUUUAAUUGAAAAAGAGCGGAAUCGAGUAGCCAUCACUACGAAGUCCAUCGUUACAAUGUCCACUAGCAAUAAAUAAAGAAGCACAAGGACACUGAAUGUAUAUAAUCUGUUUUGUCCAGGAACAGAUGGAGAUAUUUAAAUGUCAAUACCUCCUGGAUACGCCGUCGGCUUCUUUACGAUCGGUCGUUAGAACCGAUGUAACGUACGUACGUACAUCCGGCGUUUACAUUUUACGAUCCCUUCUUCGUUUUUCUCUUCUUCUUCCUCCAAUGUACUAUCUACCUUGAUCCUAAUGUCUGCCGUUACCGUUUUUAUUCGACGAGAUCGUUUGUCCAGCUGCUUGACGAUGAAUUUCACUUUUAAUCGUGACAUUUUAUUCUUUCCCUUCGUCUGAACAUCAUUAGAAAUAUAAUGUUUUGAAACUUGAGCAAAAGAUUUAAAAAGAAAUUGUAUACAAUGGCUGAAAAAGCGUAUUCAAUGUAUAAAGUAAUUUGAUUUUAAUAUUAAGAUAUGUAACAAUUAGUUGGUUUUAAACAUGACAAAUGUUUUAUAAAUCUUUUUGAUGCCUUCUUUAUUCUUUUAAAAAAUUGUAUCAAGGAUAUUUUAAUCUGUUUGUAAAAAUAUUAAAAAUGUACAUUAAUAUGAGGAUAUUUUUAUUUCUAAAUUUAACAUAAAUGUAAUUUAAUUCAUCUUAUUUAAUCUAAAUAUACUUUAAUUUGAUCGUGAGAAAUUAAAAGAAA